AAAUAGACUGGACAAUGAAACAGAGAACAGAGAAGAAAAAUCAACAUAAAGGACAGUACGUGAGCAGCCGUGUGAAGGAAGCGCGUGGAUUCGUGAAAAGUGCACAGCUGUGAGGCAGGCUGGCUGCACCGCAUGCGGAGGCUAAAAUAAUAGGUUCUUUAUAUUCCCGGUAAACUCACUGUUCGCAUUUCUUACAAAGCACAUUCUCUAUUACUCAAGACAUUUCCUGCUAAAACUCAGCCAGAAACAAUUAAGGAGAAACAGGACUGCAGAUUAAUAAAGGCCAUGACCUUCACCAAAUUACUCAGCCACAGAAGGACAGCACGCCAUCUUGUUCAAGCGUGGAAAUGCGUUUAAAGGACUGGCAAGUGGCCCAAGCUGGGUGCAUACGGAUUUUCCACCUAGUGGAGACAAAAAAGCGAGGCACACGCUUCUUAGAAACAAGUCCCCACAGUGGCCUGGGCUGGUCCUUUCCAGCCUGGUGAGAAUGGCACGUGUUGAGUGACCCCAUCCCUAGGCUCCCGGACUUGGGCUCCUGGGACUGCCCAGUAAAGAACCCCUGAGUACCACCAGGGGCAGAGUUGGGCUUCAGGAACAGCAUGAGUGAGUGCUGUGUUCCAGUCCCGCUGCCAUGAGUAAGCCGUGUGGUCUGAGUCGGAACAGAGAGCAGUACCACGGGAUGGGAUGGAUGGGUAGGACAGGUCUGGCGCACUAUGAUGGCAAUUCAUGCACGCUUUGUUUCUACAGGGCUCCUCCCAAGAUCGCUCGCACGGGACAAAAGAAAUCCUGUACUUUCAACAGCAACGCCAGAGAAGAAUGGUCGCAUUAUCUAGAAUCAAUCAGCUCAUCUCCCCCGUUGGGAGCCUACAUUGAAAGAAGCCCUUCACUGCCUACCCUUUGACCAUUUGAAGUCAAAAGUGCCAGACAAGAAGACGCGAGCUGGCUUAUCGAAGUGUGUCAGCGCGCAGCAUUUACCUUCGGAACUGCUCGAUGAUGCGGUACUUCUCGAGGAGCUCAGUGGACGGGCGAGCCAUGGCCAAGAUGUUGUCAGUGACCCUGAGGUGGGAGGACGGGGCUGGUGAGAUGCACAAAACCUGGAACGUCCUAGCUCUAAGUACGGAGAGAACGAGUUAUCAAGUCCCUGUUUUUUCUACGAUGUCAACAGUUGUAGAACAAUUUUCUUAUACAGCUCUGGCUUCAAUUUUGCAUCACAAUUAGGGCUCUAAGAGACCCUGAAAGCCUGGAAAAAAUUCCAGGACGUGAAGUAUUUGUGGACUGCAGCAGAGUGUUUUCAAGGACUCUCAUGAGAUUCUAGCAGAUGUGACAGAGCCACCUCAUCGGGCAUCAAAGGCAAUUCUGCCCCCCAGUCACCCGUUGUGUGAGGCAGGGAUAACGCCUGCCUCGUGGGGUUGGCACGACAAUUCGACAAGGUGUGGGUGUAAAGUCUUUAGCACAAAUCCUGGCGAGUGGUUAUAAAUAAAUACCGACUUAUUGUGA